GUAUGCUGGGAGUGUGUGUGUUUGUGAUAUAUUUCCUUUUUAUUUUGAUCUACCAGGUUCUCCCCCUCUUGGGUUUUGCACUUGGCCUGAAUACCAUACCAUACUUGAUACCAUAAGUAUGCAACAACAAGUGAAAGUGCUUUUGAAUUUGGCAUGAAAAUAGUCCAGUUCUUGUCUGUCGUUGUGGAAAACCCUGUGUUGAUAAAAAGGUCUGAAUCCUUGGCUGAGCUGUUAUUUAUAAGGAUGUUUGAGACCAAGGUGAUUUUCAAGAUCAGCUUUAUCGUCCUUCAGCAGAUGUUAUGUCUAUUGACUUUGUAUGCCAAGGCCAACCAGAUGAUUAAGUACAAAUACAAAAGUACUACAUUUUUGGCAAAACAAUUCUUAACGGUUUUUAGCAAUGUGUUAUUUUCUAAGUUCAGCCUCUCAGAAAAUGUAGCCCAAACACUGAAGGUUAUGAGUUCAAUAACGGAGACCCUUCUUGCUUGAAAUGCUCAGCUACAAAUAAUUAUGUUUUGUACAUUUAACAUAUUGAGUGGCAUGGUGGUUCAGUGGUUACUAUUGUCGCCUCACAGCAAGAGGGUUCCAGGUUUGAUGCUUGCGGCCAAGCGGUGUAUUUCCGAUUGGGGUUUGCAUGUUCUCCCUGUUCCUCUGUGGGUUUUCUCCGAGUACCCUGGCUUCCCCCCACAGUCCAAAGACAUGCAGAUUAGGUUAAGUGACAACUCUAAAUUGCCUGUAGGUGUGAUUAAUCUCUGUGUGUCAGCCCUGUGAUAGACUGGUAACCUCUUCCAGGGUGACCCUGCCUCUCACCCAGUGUUGGCUGGUAAUGACUACAGCACCCCCCUGCAGCCCUCAGUAGGAUAAGUGGUAUAAAUAAUGGGUGGCUAGAUGGACAUUUAUCAUAACGUGUCCAGUCAUAUUUUCAGUUUUCAUAUCCAUUUUUCUGUGUGCACUAGUGGUGCUCACACAUGAGUAAAAGUGUAGUUCUUUCCUGGAUCCUUCCUAUUCCAACCAGUCAAGAUCAAAGGUGAUGCAACUUGUUUGGCUGUCAGACCAGCAUCAGCUCUCUGUUCUUGACUACUCAUUCCUUUUUCCUCCAUUUUCAGAGAACUUGGUAAGAGGCCGUACGUCUCAGACGGGAAGAAUGGGAGAAGACGGCGCUUAAAGAUUGAACAGGUGUCAACAGCAGGUUAAGUCCAGCACAAGAAGAAGCGAAAUAUUACAGCUGAAUAAAACAUCACAGGAGUCCUAAUGCUUAUGCUCAGUGUUGGAGAGUUUUUUAUUUAGCAGCUCAGAGCUCCUUUGGCUAAAUUCUUUCUGCUGCAAUACUGCAAGUCAGUGGGUUAUUUGGAAAAC